AGCAAUGAACACGAAAAGAAAGUUUAUCACACUGCAAGUGAUUAAGAUUGGAAAUCUGCUGCUUGAGAGCACGUUGAAGAAAGAGCGGGAGCAGCAGGGGAAGUGACGGCUACCAGAGGGGCAACCGGGAAGGGAAACACAUUUGAAAAAGAAAAUAGUUCUGUGAAGUAACCUACCAUCUCAUGAAAUUCAAUUUGCUGCUGUAG